rfam:Punica granatum cultivar Dabenzi scaffold410, whole genome shotgun sequence.
UUGCAAUGAUGAUAACGAAGUUAAUGGAGAGACUUUUGUCUUGAUGAAACAUCGACCUUUGUGUCGACCUGAGCGGUUAGCUGAGCAA